rnacentral:rRNA from 1 species
GAUGAACGCUGGCGGCGUGCCUAAUACAUGCAAGUCGAGCGAAGCGGGGACGGGUGAGUAACAUGUGGAUAACCUCCUAUAAGGCUGGGAUAACUUAGGGAAACCGGAGCUAAAACGGAUACUUUUAGCUGGAGCCGUGCUGCAUUAGCUAGUUGGUCAGGUAACGGCUUACCAAGGCAACGAUGCAUAGCCGCCCUGAGAGGGGGACCGGCCACACUGGAACUGAGACACGGUCCAGACUCCUACGGGAGGCAGCAGUAGGGAAUCUUCCGCAAUGGGCGAAAGCCUGACGGAGCAACGCCGCGUGAGUGAUGAAGGUCGUCGGAUCGUAAAACUCUGUUAUUAAGGAAGCGGUACCUAAUCAGAAAGCCACGGCUAACUACGUGCCAGCAGCCGCGGUAAUUC